rnacentral:misc_RNA from 1 species
GGCGUCGUUCCCGUUUUCAUGACAAUUAGGUAUGUACUGCAUGAACACUAUUGACAAUUCUUCCACUUUUUAGUCAAUCCUUUAUGUUUACUAACAUUUACAAUAUAGAUCCUUUAUCUCAUCAAUCUCAACUAUGUAUUUGUGCUUAUUAAUUAUUGGUGAUAUACCUUAUCAGUGCACUCAAUAUAUUGGCAGCUCAUUAGUGAAAAGUGAAAGUAUUGAAAGAAAAGUGAUAGAGAUGCUGGAAAUUAAGGUAGUAACAUUGAUAAGUUACAUGUGGAUCGGAUCUUGUAACAUAUGUAAAUAGAUCUGCUGGUUAGACCUGAAUUUUUUUGUUUGACUGGUUAUAUGGUGACUGAAUUUGUUAUUGGGAUGAUACCUUUGAAUUCGAAAUUGAUUGUUAAUUUGCAUAUUAGGACUUGAUUUAGUUGUUCAUCC